UUUAAAACGAAAUAUUGAAGAUAUAUUUGCACAUACAUUUGUAAAAGUAAUAACAGCGACAUUUGCACAGAACUGAGCUUCGAGUAGAAAUAACACUAAAAAAAUUUGUAAAAUGAUAAGAUGAAAGUGAAUGGUAUGCGAAUUGAACGUUUCAUACACCAUAUCCGGUGCUAUUUCUCAGAAAAGAUUCACUCUGAAUAUUUUUAUCAAUUCAACGAAAUUGCUUUAACGUCACAAAGACGAUAAAACCGCUGGUUCCGCUGUCAAAAAACACUGAUUAGUUUUUGUCUUAUAGAUUGGUUUCUAUAAAAAUGAUUAUACCAAACACUGUGAAAUCAGCACUUAUUGACGAAGUCACUGACCCAAUUACGACCAAUCCGUCUCAAUACAUUACCAGCGACUCAUCAAGAAACGUCUCUUUAUUACCUAACUCCCUGGAGACAAUGUUCUUCUGCGGAAAGGUCAGUUCCACCUUUCACUGCAGUGCGUUAGUAACUUCACUUAUUCUAUCGUCAACGAGAUGGCGCUACCUGGUUUUUAUGGUUUGUGUUCGAUUUAGGUUUGUUCGGAUGUAAGGUUUCAGAUUUGACCACUGUGGUUCCUCAGAACACAUCCGUGCUUUAAAUUAUUUCCUAGGAAUGUUUGUUUUUGAAUUGCAUGCACAAGAAAC